AGUCUCCAGUCUCUGCGAGGAGAGUGGAAGAGGGCAGUGUUGAUGAGGGUAGGUACCGCGGGGGGAGGGGAACUGCCGCAGCCGACCGGGGAGGAGAAUUACCCUUCCGGGAUGGGAAACGAGAGGAACGAACACGGGAGGGGAGGAGACGGAGGCUGUUCGGGGGGGAGGGUUUGUAGCAGCAGCUGGGCGAGACCUCGCUGUCUUCGGCAUCACGUACCGUGUCUUCGCGUCCGACAGAGCCGGUAACGGCGGCAGGAGCCUCGAGCGUUUUUUCCGCACUUUCUCAACCCCGUUGGUAGGGUUUUCAUCCACCCGUUUCGAGUUGUACGUCAGUGUAACUCAUAAUCAAAGUACCGUACUUUCUCAAAGUCAUAAAAGGCCCAUGGUGUGCUACUCCACACCUACACAGAAGGUCUAGUCUAAGAUGUCACAUCAACCCAUUAGGUUCGUUUAUAGACAAUCGAAAAGAGAUGAUAGACUAGUACAACAGUGUUUCAAACCUCUAUCAUAGUUUUCUUAUUAUUUCCUUUUAAGAACUUCUUGUUUCCUAUAGUAAACUAACUUAGUCACAACAUUCUAAUUUCUAAAUACCACAAC
rnacentral:rRNA from 1 species